rnacentral:rRNA from 1 species
UACGUAGGGGGGCAAGCGUUGUCCGGAUUUAUUGGGCGUAAAGAGCUCGUAGGCGGCUUGGCAAGUCGGGUGUGAAAACUUCAGGCUCAACCUGGAGCGGCCACUCGAUACUGCUAUGGCUUGAGUCCGGUAGGGGACCACGGAAUUCCUGGUGUAGCGGUGGAAUGCGCAGAGUAUCAGGAGGAACACCGGUGGCGAAGGCGGGUCUCUGGGCCGUUACUGACGCUGAGGAGCGAAAGCGUGGGGAGCGAACAGG